AUUAAAUAAACAGUUUUUGGACUACAUCAAUUUUUCUCGUUACUUAUUGAAUGAUGCCUCAUAGAAAAUUUUCUAGUAAUUAGUGGUUCAGGAAAUUUACAUAAAUAUUGAAAGUUCAGCUUUUUCAAAAAGAGUUUUUUUUUACCAUUAAUUUUUUAUUAUGUAUUUAGUGAUGGGUAGUGGAAAGUUUCCAGUCGGAAAUUUCCUGCCGAAAACUUUCAAAAAUGGAAAAUUUACAGACCUCAUGGAAACUUUGAAAAAAAGUGGAAACAUUGGGAAACAUUGAAUUUUUUUUAGCUGUAACAGUUGAGUGCUGUUGAGUAUAUAUGCAAAAUUUCAACCGAAAUGGAACACAUUGAAUAAGGUAUAGUUUUAACAGAGUUAGCUCAGUACCAAAGUAGAGAAGGUAUGUGGGCCAAAGAAUUUCUUUGGAUGGCGCUUGAAAAAGGUAAAAUUGAACCCUGUACUUGGUGGAAAGGUCUGUGUGGUCAUACACAGCUGUCAAAAGUAGCAAACAGAAUCUUAGGUAUGCCAGUAACCUCUGCUGCUACAGAGAGGUCUUUCAGUACACAUGGUAGUAUACAUACAAAACUAAGAAACCGCUUGACCACUGAAAGAGCAGGUAAAAUAUCAUUCAUUGCCCACAACUGGAAAUUGUGUCACCACAUCCUGGAGGACAUUGAAAAAUUGGAAAGGAAAGAUUCUAUUACUGUCAUUGUGGAAGACAAAUGUGAGAAAGUAUAGCAGAAUAAAAAACUACCACAGUGUGUUUUAAAAGAAGACAGUGCAUCUUGUUCUAACAAUGAAACAGAAGAGGAAGAAAACAGUGAUUUCAGUUAUGAGGACAAUGAUGAUUUCAUUGGUUUCUAAGACCCAAUAUGACUUAAAUAAGGACAUGUUUGUUUCCAAUUCAGUUAAAACUGUAACACUGAAAUUAAGGAAGAAAUUGAGAUAUUCGACGAAAUGGCUCACCUUGAUUCAGAAAGCACUUCUACAGUUUUGGAAUCUGAUGCCAGUAAACCCCAGACUGUGACUGUUCAGAAGUUAGUCACGGUAAAAGAAGACUGCGAUGAAAUAUGUGAGAACAUUGAGGUGUGUGAUGGACAGCCAGACAUUUUGUCACCUUUCAAAGAGCAGACACCCGUCUGUAUCGAUUCGCCAUCGAAUGUUGUUGGAGGCGUGAAAGAGGAAGAGUCCCGCAUCGAGUCCCAGGCAAGUUCAGCUGUCUGCGAGCCUACGCGCGGAGCGAGCUGCGAGCCGGCUUUGCACGGCGUUCGUGCCACUGCGCACGUGCUGCGCACUUCACCCGUGCAUUCGCCCUCAUGGCCGAGGAGAGUAGGUGCCACGCCCACCCAGCUCAGCGCUGCCACCCUGUGUGCUGCGAAGCACCGAAUUCCCCUCAAAAGUAGACGCGUUUCGAAAAAAAGAGUGACGUUCAUUGAGGAAAAUUAUUUCUUAAACAAGGCGAAAGCUUUGAGGAGGAGGAGGAGAAUGCUAAAUGGGGCUGUGAUGCAGUCUCUCUUAUCGGCUCUCGUUCGAAUAGCUUCAAAUUACAAAGCACAGAUGAAAGCAAUAAAGAAGUUAAAAGAUAUGAUUGACAAAGUUAUCGUACCAAAAAGGGCGGAGUGAAAAUCGAGAGUGAAGAAAUCAAAACAGUUUUUACGUGUUUUAAGUACAAUAUAUAUUUUAGUGUAAUGGGAUUUGUGCCCCCAUAAAACCUUGAGUUAUACAACUGGGUACAUGUUGAACAUCGCAACUUUUUGUUUGAAACAAUACUAUGUUGAUUCUCAAAGGGAAAAGUGAAAUAUGAUGAGUUGUUUUUUACCUGUGGCUGUUAAAAUUAUUUUGAGUGCUUGUUUACCUCACUCCAUGAGGAUUACCUUAUUACAAGUUGUUUAUCAAGUCCAAAAAUGAGUUAUUGGUGGCGUGGCCAUUGGUACCAACUAGUUAAAAAUGCAAAUUUUUAAAAUUAGAAUACUGUUAGUAAUUUUAAGAAUCUUAAAAAAGAGUACAUUGGUCGGGUAGGUGUAAUUUUUUUUAAUAUAAAUAAUAUCUCUAAUGUAAAUAUAGUGACGUAAAUAUAUGUUGACUUCAAUAGCGUAGCAGAAGCUGUUUUCAGAAAGAUGGAGACUUAAAUGUCAGUAUAUUACAGCUGGGCAACUGUUUUCUAUCUUUGUUUUCCAUUUCAAAUGAAUAUUGAAAUUAUUCUUGACAUGGAAACCAAUUCAGGUUAGGAAAUGUAAUGUACAACGAAGUCCAUAUCUUUUUUAAAACAGUCUCGGCUAUGCUGUACGUAUUCCUUAAUGAUCUCUGGAGAACCACAAGAUCAAAUUGCAGCUAGUAUCAAGAGAACAUUAGGGCAGCAAGAAUGAUCAGGGCAAUCUCUCAUGGAAAACAAACAGUCUCGGGUAUGAAAUUGAAGCACAACACAAAUUUAUGUCACUAUAUUUACAUUACCGGUAAUGUUUACAAUCAGUUUACGCCAACUGUUAGUCUGAAAAUGCCAUACUUCACAUGUGGCUACCAUAACCUAACCUCUACUUAAAAUGGUUAUUACAGGGAAACACUUGUUCAAUGCAGUGAGCUCUUGCAGAAUGAUUAGAAGACACUUGAUAGGAAGUAAUGAGAUGCAGUUUUUAAUGUUUAAAAAAAAAUUGCUGACAGUUGUGAAUUCAAAAUUACCUUUAAAUGAUGUUGAAAGUUACACUAUGGUUUUUUUACUAAAUCAAUUGCAAAUAUGUAUGGUUUAAGAAAAUUAAUUUUUUCGAAAGUUGCAUUGGGUGAUGAAAAAUUUCUGUCAAAGUGUAUUCCUGUUCAAGCAGUCUAUUUAACAUUGUAUUAUAAUAUUAAUAUAUAUAUGUUAUAUAAGGGUUAUUUUGCUAAAUGAAAAUUAAAGAAUAACUUAAAAAUAAAGUGGGUAUGUAAAUAUUAAUAUUACAGAACUAAAAUUUUAUAUAAAUAAUAAUAGACAAAUAUUUAUUUACAAAAAAAUGAAACAUAUGUCUUAAAAUUAAGCAUGGAUUUUUUUUGUUAAAAAUAUCAAUUGUUAUUUUUAAUUAAGUGUUAUAAAAAAAAAGCUUUUGUAUAAAAGUAUAUUUUUUGAGCCUUUUUUUUUCUUUUUAUACCUUUGUUUCAUCAAUACAUGUUUAGGAACUGAUUAUUUAUGGUUCCCAAAAUCUCUUAACAAAACUGAGAUAUUCGGUUUGCUUGUCCAUUCAAAUAUCUCUGGCAUCUGUACGUCGGGGUGUUGUAAUCGCUCGGAUGGAGGUUCAAAGCGGCAUCGAGAUGAGCAUGACAGCGUCUUGGACCAAAUGAAACAGCGUGGCCUAAGAGCUGAUGCUGUUGCCGAACUGACGCCCGGUCAUUAGUUCCCAAGGAGCGUCAAGCAAGCGUCCAGCAAGAACAGCACGCUGUUGAUGAGGGAAAUGGAGCCCUUGGUGAGGCCUAAAUACUUGACGUUGCUGGCUCCGGUCACAACGUUCGUGAGGAUUAUAGCCCCACUGGUGGCGAACAGCGCAAACCCAACAAGGCUGUAGAAAAUGUCCUGCACAUAAAACUCCAGCAGUCACUUCUACGCUACUAAAAAUGUUAGUCUUCAUAAAUAAAUUAUUUAAUUUAAUUAGUCAUGUUAGUUUUUUUUCCUUGUAUUACUUUUAUGCGAGGUAGGCCUGUGCAUAUUCUAGUUUUUUUUUUUUUUUUUUGCAAAGCUAAUAUAUCAAAUGUUUGAGUCAAACCGCAUUGCGUAUAUUUUUUCGGUGAAGCUGUAUUACACAUAUUUUAUAAAAUGCAGAAUUGAAGUAAGAAAAUUGUUUAAAGUUUGUAAUGUUUGAACUGAUUAAAUCACUAACCUGUAGGGCCCUAAUUAUAACAUCAUCCAGUAAAAAUUUUAAUAUAAUAAUGCAUAAUAUUAAUAUUGAUCAUUCAUGAAAGUAAAUGGAGUGCUACCUUUUGAUUUUUUUUUUUUUAAGUAACCAACUUUAUUGAAGCAAAACAUAUUCUACACAAAAAAUAACCUAAAUAUUUUCAUGAGUGAAUCUUAGGUUUCCAAAGUUUACAGCUUUGCACCACGACGACUGCUAUGUCUCCCGUUUGCAAACAAUCUUGGUUUGAAUCCACCGCAAAUUAUAUAACCUUAGUAGGAGGCAAGCAAUCUGCCCCUUGAACCUCCGUGGCAAUGAAUAAUGUUAUACUUAGAUUGGGUAUUAGAUAACUAGCUAAUCCCUGAUAUGCGUUUGUAUGUCUCAUUCAUUUUUUUUUGUAAUUUGAUUGAAGUAGGUACACAUAGACAAAGCAUCUCUCUAUAUAUGUCCCUCUAGUAAAUCUCACUAUAUAUAUACAUAUACACACACACACACACACACAUAU